rnacentral:rRNA from 1 species
AUACGGAGGAUGCAAGCGUUAUCCGGAUUUAUUGGGUUUAAAGGGUGCGUAGGCGGUUUGCUAAGCGGGAGGUGAAAUGCCGGCGCUCAACGUCGGAAGUGCCUCCCGAACUGGUGGACUGGAAUGACUCUGCCGUGGGAGGAAUGUGUAGUGUAGCGGUGAAAUGCUUAGAGAUUACACAGAACACCGAUUGCGAAGGCAUCUCACGAAGGGUUGAUUGACGCUGAGGCACGAAAGCGUGGGGAUCAAACAGGAUUAGAUACCCUGGUAGUCCACGCAGUAAACGAUGAUGGCUAACCGCUGGUUUAUUCGGAUCAGUGGCCAAGCGAAAGCGAUAAGUUAUCCACCUGGGGAGUACGACCGCAAGGUUGAAACUCAAAUGAAUUGACGGGG